rnacentral:rRNA from 1 species
GCAGGCUCGCGCUUGAAUACAUUAGCAUGGAAUAAUGAAAUAGGACGUUCGAUCUUAUUUUGUUGGUUUCUAGGAUUGACGUAAUGAUUAAUAGGGAUAGUUGGGGGCAUUAGUAUUCAAUUGUCAGAGGUGAAAUUCUUGGAUUUAUUGAAGACUAACUACUGCGAAAGCAUUUGCCAAGGAUGUUUUCAUUAAUCAAGAACGAAAGUUAGGGGGUCGAAGACGAUCAGAUACCGUCGUAGUCUUAACCAUAAACUAUGCCGACUAGGGAUCGGAUGAUGUUAUUUUUAAUGACUCAUUCGGCGCCUUACGGGAAACCAAAGUGUUUGGGUUCCGGGGGGAGUAUGGUCGCAAGGCUGAAACUUAAAGGAAUUGACGGAAGGGCACCACCAGGGGUGGAGCCUGCG